AUUGAACGCUGGCGGCAUGCCUUACACAUGCAAGUCGAACGGUAACAGGUCUUCGGAUGCUGACGAGUGGCGAACGGGUGAGUAAUACAUCGGAACGUGCCUAGUAGUGGGGGAUAACUACUCGAAAGAGUGGCUAAUACCGCAUGAGAUCUACGGAUGAAAGCAGGGGAUCGCAAGACCUUGUGCUACUAGAGCGGCCGAGGGCAGAUUAGGUAGUUGGUGGGAUAAAAGAUUACCAAGCCGACGAUCUGUAGCUGGUCUGAGAGGACGAUCCGCCAACCUGGGACUGAGACACGGCCCAGACUCCUACGGGGGGCAGCAGUGGGGAAUUUUGGAACAUGGGCGCAAGCCUGAUCCAGCAAUGCCGCGUGCAGGAUGAAGGCCUUCGGGUUGUAAACUGCUUUUGUACGGAGCGAAAAGCCCCGGGUUAAUACCCUGGGGUCAUGACGGUACCGUAAGAAUAAGCACCGGCUAACUACGUGCCAGCCGCCGCCGUAA
rnacentral:rRNA from 1 species